UGGGGAUGGGGUUUAAGUUGAGGCCUGAAUGAUAAGCUGGGGCUUUUAAGUUGAGGCCCCAGCUGUACAAAGAUCAACCCAAAAAAAAAAAAAAAUCCCAUUGCCGUUGAGUUGACUCCAACUCAUAGUGACCUAAUUGGACAGAGUAGAACUGCCUCAGGGUUUCAAGGAGCACCUGGUGGAUUUGAACUGCUGACCUUGUGGUUAGCAGCCAUAGCUCUUAAUCACUACACCACGAGGGUUUCCUGCAAAGAGCAAGGGAAAGAGCAAUAUAGAAAGAACUCCAGAAGAAACAGGAUCCUGGACAUCAAGAAGCGACUCCCCUGCCCCAGUCAGGGAGAUAGACCUGUAGAGAUCUAAUUUUAACAAAUGCAGUGUGGUUCCUGCUGUACUAGCUGUUAAGAACAGAGCAUUCUGAGAGCCUAGCAGGGCAGGGUGAUUAACCAGAGCUAAGUGAGAACUGUGGAAGGGCUGUGCCAAGCAGAGUAUGGAAAGAUGUAGAGUAGCACUGUGAAGGCCUAAACCCUGGCUUCACCAGAGAUGUCUGUUAAGACAGAUUGCUGGGCUGCACUCCAUAUUCACUGAAUCAGGAACUCUGAGUUGGCUGCCUGGGGGGCUGUGUUUGUAACAAGCACCUUUGUCGAUUCUGAUGUGAGACAUUUUGGAACACUCUGGUUUAGAGAGUAGAUUGAAGGCAGAAAGAAGACUUGGGCACACACCUAAGUGCUUCUCAACUUCAUUUUAUCUGUGAAAUGGAGAUUAUAAUACCAUCUCCCUCACUGGGUAACUAAGAGGAUUAAACAGGGCACUGGGCCCACUGUAGGCAGAGCUGAUACCAGAGAACUCGCUGAAUGUCUACGAAAGAGGCAAUUAAACUCCUCAAAGAAAACUGGAGAUUUACUCUCAGGAAAGGCCAAACCUGAAGGAAUCUUGGGCUUGGAUAUAAGCCUAGAACCGCUCCUAGCCCCAGAGAAACCCUAGUGCUGAGUCAGCUCUCUCCCUGAGGGUGUGUUUGUGAAGUCUUAUCUCAUGGGACUAUUAGAAAAACAUAGCUUUGAUCAUAAUUGAGUAAAGAACUGACCAAGUUGUCCCCGAGCUCACUGAACAUGUCUUCGGAGCUUGCCUUUUAAAGGAAAUGACUAUGGCAAUGUUACAGCUGUGGGAAACAAGCAAGGGAGACUGGAAAAGCAGCAUCCAAAGUUGGGGAGGAAGCCAGUUUCCACUAGGGCAAAAGGACAGCGAACAGCUGCAAAGUUGUCAAAUGUUUGUAGGAAGGAAACAGCUGGCAUUGCCUCACUGUUGUUUUUCUUUUCUAUUUUUACUUCCUCCUUUAAAAUUCAAAUUGAUUUAAAGGAUUUUCCCUCUCUGUACCCAAGGCUAACCCUUGACCAAUUCUAAGAGCUGCCUCCAGAGAGAAUGUCAUCUUGUUGAGAGAGGGAAGUUCUGGGGAAUUUGGGGAGUUAGUUGGGCAGGCUUUGGCAGUGUGACCCUAAGAGGUGGGUCAGGACUGGGAAAUGAUGAAUUGACUGAAACCUCUGCUACAGUCUACACAGCCUGAGAACGGCCACUUGCAGCUGACAGCUGAGCCCUUUCCACAUGGUUGGCAGUCUGACAAGCCUUGAGGAAAGAAGGGAGUGAUGUCCUCCCCUUAACUAUAAAAUGGCUUACCUUAUUCUAAACUAACUACCCACAAACCAACAAGCGACCAAACAAAACCACUUACUUUAGGAUUAGCACCAAAAAAGUUAUUUUCAGAAAGUGGUCAAGGUUAUUUGCAGAUUUGUAAAAAAAAAAAAAAAAAAGGCCUGUCCGUCUAGCCUCCAAUUCAUUCCCAAUGUAGAAGAAAUGCUGAAAAUUCCUUUUUGUACUGAUUUCUUUUCAGCUCUACUUCUUCAUAGAGAUAGUUCUGGUAAAGAAUUAGUUUCCCGGUAUUGUAGUGAGAAGGAGAAUGGGUCUCAGAUUUUGUACUUUGUGAUAUGAGGGAUGGUAGCAGGAUGAUGUUAAAGAAGUGUUCAUUCAGUCAUGCAGAGACAGUGAGCGGUGAGAGGAAGACCACGAGCUUUGGGGCCAGCCAGGCCUAGGCCCAAAUUUCUUUGGGGCUCUGUACUAGCUAGGCCCUUGAGCAAGACGUCUUCCCCAUUAGAAUUUUCUUGUCUGUUACGUGCCAGGCACUGUGCACUGUCUGGUAGCCUCCAAUAAAUGGUCAUUCCCUUGUCCUUGAGACUUAACCUGGGGCCAGUUAUCCAGUCAUCUAACUUAUUGGAGGCCCAGAUAGUUCUUUGUAUUGUUAAAGUAACCCCAAAAAAACCCAGUUGUUAAAGUAAGUAAUGUUUAUUAACAACUGAAGCUUUCUAACCAAAGUCAGGAGUGUGAGGCCCUUGCAGACCUCACACUCCUGACUCCCAAGCAAAUGACCACGCUGGAGAGUGUCUGAUCCUAUAAAAGAAGCAUGAAUACACUUCUCUAUAAGUGCAGGAGAGAGAAAGGUGGUUUGUUGGAGAGGGGGUUGUAGAAGGUUUCUGAGGUCAAGGUACAUUUGAAGUGAGUCUUAUUCACCAGAUAGACAAGAUUGGCUGGAAGUAGGAAUGGGAGAAAAACGAAGAAAAGAGCAUGGUGGUGUGCCCUGCAGGGUCAUAAGAUGAAAUGGUAAACAGCUUUAUGUGGCCCAUGGGAAUGGAGGAAGAGUCAAUGAAAGGAGAGGAAGGAAGAAUAUAGGAUUCCGAUAAUAUGAAGAACCGUGGGUAACAUGUAGGGAAUUUGGAAGUUCUUCCUUGUCAAUGUGGUGUCUUUAAAGAGCUUAAUAAGGGUAGAAAUGGCUCACUCUGAUUUAUAUUUUAAAAGGUACAGUUAUGAGGGCCUCAACUAAGGUAGUAGAGCAUAAAAUGACGACAUGUCUGCAGAUUUGAGAUAUAUUUAGAAAGUAAACUCUACGUGGCUUGGUGAACAGUGAGAUGUGAGAAGUCAGUGGGUUAGGAAAAAUUCAAGAUAACUCUUGAGCUUGUAGCAUCAAUCCCUGGGUAGCAUAUGAUGUUGUUUUGCUUAUCUGUUGCUGCAUAACAACCCACCCCAAAACUUCUUAGUAGCUUAAUAUAGCAACCACUUUCUUUGCCCAUGAUUCUAACGGUUGGCUGGGGAUUAGCUGGGUGGUUCUUCCGGCAGUCACAAGACAGGCCUCGGCUGGUUUGGGGGCCCCGCCAAACCAUGUGGUUAUAAUUAGAUAGUAAAUGGGGCUGGAACAUUAUAUAUAGAUUCGUUUACAUAAUGCUGCCUUGGCAGCAUCAGCUGGAAGUCUGGGACUUCUCUCUCUUUACGUGUGUCUCUCCAUGUAGUUCUCUUGUGGUGGCUAGAUCACAAAAGCAAGUAUUCCAAAAAGACAAAGCUGUGAUAUGUAAGUGCUUAUUAAGAUUCUGCUUGCAUCAUGCUUGCUAAAGCCCAAUUGGCUAAGCCCAGAAUCAGUGUAGAAGGGGAACUUACAAGGGUGUAACUGCUGAGAAGCAUGGUUCAUUCAAAGUAAGAGUUUACCUCAAAGACUAUAAGACAGGGGAUAGAAGGAGAGAAAUGGCUUUGGAAGGAAGAGAUCAUUACAUCAGUGUCUGUGCCUCAGUGUCAUGCUGACUGAGACCUGGAGGUCCUGUAACAUAUCUUGGAGAGCCAGCCGGGAGCUCUGCUCAGUGUUCAGGGUGCACCAGUCCCAGCCCUAGGAGGACCUCAGCAGCUGGCAACCGAACCACUUGUUCCGUCUGGGCCCCUCUGGGCGGACGUGCUCCGAACCCAAUGGCCACUCCAGAAAGCAAGGGAAGAAAUUUGCAAUAAUCAGGUACGUGACAUGGCAGAUUCUUCCACAACCCCAGAUCCCUCUCCACGUUUCGAAGCCUGGCGGUUGGAUAUAUGUCAAGACCUAAAAUGCUACAGACCUGGCAGAAAAGUGAAAGGGACCUUUUGAGGUGUUGAUGUCAACCCCCAAUGCAGUCAAGAUCACCAGAAAGCGAGCGUGGAUCCACCACUCUUGCAUCAAACCAGCCCCUACUCCCGAUAUCAACCAACAAACCCUGCAAAAAACGGACUCAUGCCUCAGUGUUGCACCCAGCGAGACCUGGAGGUCUAGUAACAUCUUGGUCCUCUAGAAGGCGGAAGAGAGACAGAAAACUGAGUUUUUUUAAUUGGAUUCCCCGGAGCCACUAGUGGGUAUAUAAAAGAUAUGACAGAGACCAAACGAAUUUGGCAAUGACAAAGAAGACAGUCCUUGGAUGGAUGGGUACUGAAAAAAGAAACCGAGUGGGCAGAGUCAUCAUUCUCUUCUGUGGGGAAAGGAAAAUUCCAGGAUCAUUUACAUAGAGAUCCUGGAAAAGGGCAUGGCCAUGAUAUCUGGACAAAAGAACACAGGAGGUGCUGGGAGAUGGUUUAUCCUUCCAAAGUGGAGUGGGUACAGAUGGGGAUGCAGGAAACAGAUAUUUUUCUCAGAAUCAUCAGUCUUUAUAGGUCAGAAGGCUGGUGUGGCAUGGCUGGAUUCUUGGCUCAGAUUGCCACUGGGCUAAAAUCAAGAUGGCUGAAGCUAUGUUCAUAUCUAGGACUCAGGAUUCUCUUCCAAGCUCACUGGUUGUUGGCACAAUUCAUUUCCUUCUCCUGUUUUCCAUGUGGUCCUCUUCGUCUCCAAGCAAGAAACUGCAUGCUGUGCUUCUGACUUCUACUUCCACCUCGUAUCUCUGCUUUUAAGGACUGUGAUGGUUAAAGUUACGUGUGUCAGCUUGGCCAAGCUAUGAUUCUCAGUGGUUUGGCAGACAUUUGACUGAUUGCUCUUCCAUAACGUAAUAUAAUGUAACCACCUCCGUGAUGUGAUCUGCUAUGAGCAGCCAAUCAGUUGAAAAGGGAGUUUUCAUGGGGUUGAGACCUGGUUCCAAUACAUAAAUGGAUGUUCCAGCAAGACUCACCCUUGCCCUGGAUCCUGCGGCUGACUCAUGAUUCUCUGACUCUGGGUCUUGGAACGAAAGACGGCAGCCUGCCACCUGACUUGCAGAUCUUGGGAUUCACCAGCUCCUGCAACCCUGUGAGCCAGCAGCCUUUUCUCUGACCUGACAAUUUUGAGUUCAUCAUCCCCUGCAACCACAUGAGUUGGGAGAAGCCUCCAGCCUGACGCUUGACCCACAGAUUUGGGACUUGCCAGCCUCCACAACUGCAUGAGCCAUUUUCUUGAGAGAAAUUGCUCUAUAUAUGCUUACAUGUACACCUAGUCCUCACUUAUUGACUGUCUAAUUACCCGAUAUUUCUCAUUUACCAUAAUAGUAAAAAAUUUACCACCCUACUAUUUUGCACAUUAAUGACAUAUGUCUGGCAGUAACAAAUACCCAGGUAAGGCAACAGUAAUGUUGGCUGUGAUGGUUAAGUUUAUGUGUCAACUUGGCUGGGCCAUGAUUCUGAGUGGUUUGGCAGUUAUAUAAUGGUGUAAUUUGGUAGUUAUGUAAUGAUGUAGUCAUCCUCCAUUUUGUGAUCUGAUGUGGUCAUCCUCCACUUUUAUAUGAUGCCAAUUUUCUCAUAAAGACCUAUUCUUUAGAACCCAACCAUGUUGAUAAGUAAGGAUUGGGUGUAUACGCUUCGCUGGUUUUGUUCCUCUAGAGAACCCAGCCUAAGACAAGGACUCAUGUGAUUACAUUGGGUCCACAUGGAAAAUUCAGACUGAUCUCCUUAUCUUAAAAUCAACCGAUUAAUUCCUUAAUUACAUCUGUAAAACCCCUUGUGUUAUGUAACAACAAACCUGGGCAUGAACCAGGGGGUGUAAGUCAUGGGGGCAACAUUCUCCCCUCCACCCAACUCCAGAGUUCUAUUUUAAAAUCCUGUUAUAAAUUCCAUAUAUAUGUUAUUGUUAGUUGAUUUCUGGUCAGUUCCAACUCAUGAUGACCCCAUGUGUUCAGAGUAGAACUGCUCCAUAGGGUUUUCAAGGCUGUGACCUUUUGGGAGCAGAUUACCAGGCCUGUCUUCUGAGGUGCCUCUGGGUAAGUUGAAUCACCAACCGUUUGGCUAAUAGUUGAGAGCUUAACUGUUUGGGCCACCCAGGGACCCCAUUUACACACAUACAUGUGUAUGUGUCACUGUGCCAAUUAUAUAUAUCAUAAAAAUUCAGAAAAAUAGAAAUGUAAAAGAUGAAAUAAAAAUAAAAUACUUUAAAAAUAGUUCCAUUUUAUUUUGUUUAUUAAUCAUACAUCACAAUGAUAAUGCAUAUAAAUUGGUAUCUAAAAUAACAUUCUGAUAAUUUGUCCUGAAUAGAUAAAUAUUUAUACACAACAUGUAUUCAUUUUACAUGAAAAUCUUGAUUGACCUGAUUUUUCUUUUGUUUGCCUUCAGACAGUAGGAAUGAAUCAUAACAGAGAUGAAUUAUAAGAAAUGCUCUCAGUCAGUAUUUAUUUAUGAUAUCAAAUUCCCAGUCAUGUUCAGUGAUCAGAACCCAAUUUGGCCCAAUACUUUCUACGUCUUUAGUUCUUGAAUGGCGGUUUCAAAUGUUUCUAUUCAUGAUCCCCAAGGUGGGACAAGAGUAUCUUCCCCCCUUAAUGAAAAAAUUAAAUAUAUAUACACAUAUUUAUAGACAUAUAUAGGUGAAAAAAACUUAUACGAAAAGGAAAUAGACUUAUUUUAAAGUGAGAUUUUCAGUAUUACUGCAAAUGUCUUGCUGUUACUGUAUUGACAUUUAAGGGAAUUUCUGGAUUAGCAGAAUACUCCAUUCUUUAAUCACGUUAGGUGAAGAUUUUACUAUCCUUGCUCAAAAUUCACCAGGGCUUAUGAGCCUCUGUUUUGGGACUCUCAUUUUGUUUUGAGUCUCACUGCUUGUUUGAGUCUUGACCAUCAUUUAGUAGCUCUGUGACCUUGGACAAGUGAUUUCACUGCACUACAAUUUUCUCAUCUAUGAAGUGGGGAUAUUUAUUUAUUUAUUUUACCUCAUAAGAUUGUUGUGAAGAUGAAAUUUGUUAAUUAUAAAAUAUCUUGGACAGUAUCUGGCACAUAGAAAAGAUAGUAAAUGUAAGUUCUUUUGUUCUCUACUUUUGACUGACCUUAUUUGGAUUUUGUCCACAUAAUAAGUAUUGCUUUCCUGCCACGUUUAUUACUUUGAUUCUUGAGAUGAAAUACAUCUUAAUUCCUUAGGAUGUGGCGCAAGAGUUGGCCAGAUGAAUAUGGAAGAAUAGUUUCUAUGGAGAUGAUAAAUAACAUCCUGAAUUUGUAUUAGACGGCUGAGAAGGAACAUGACCGUGAGUCAUAUGAAAAUACUUUUAAAAAUGUGAAUGUUUUCUAUCAUCUUCAAAAUUAAGACAAAAAGAUGAGAAGUCUGAUUAGAGUCUUAUUUUUUUCCCUUAUAGAGGUCAAUCUCAUGAAGUAUGAGGACUUCCAAAGGGGGAUUUGCAUAUUUGUAUUAUUUUUGGUAUUUAGUAAGAUAUCUCCUUCUCUACUGAGUGGGAGUUGGAAAGAGCUUGAGAUUCUUCACACAUUUUUGAUGGAUUCUUUUACUGAAUGUGAAUAAGGAUGAGAAAAUUUGUCUAUAUAAAAUACUUUCAUAACUGCCAUGAUAGACACAAGGUGGAGCAAACUACUGUUGAUGUAUAAAGGUUGGAAGGAGAGGUGAAUUCUAACAUGGAAUCUUAAGAGCAUUUUUUUUUGUUUUAGAAGUAGAGUUUGGACUAGUCCUCAGGGGAUUUGUAGAACUUUGUCCAGAGCACACCUAAAAGAAAUGUCAUCAAAUAUACCUGUUAGUCUAUUUUUAUGUGAAAAAAUAUAUGAAUUAAUAUUUUUAUAUAAUUAACUCCAGCCAUGUCUUAUUUUUUACUCCAUAGGAUACCUAGAAGACCCUAGAAGGGGGAAGAGUUCCAUGGCACAAAAUCCCAGCCCACGUUUAGUUCUCUUUUUUCAUAGCAAUUAUAUUUAAAUAAGCUGAAGCACACAUACAGUUUAUUACUUAACUAAAUAUUCUUAUAUUGUUCUCUUACUGCUCCAUGUGAUUUAUCAUUAUGUCCUCAACUAGAUUAUAAGCUCUUCGAGAGUAGUGAUAAUGUUUCAAUACUUUAAUGCAUUGGUUGAUCAAUUGAAAUUUUUGAAAAGUCUACAUCCUCUUGGGCUACUAGGUGAAAGAGAAGGAAAAGGGAACUAGUAUUUCUACGCAAUCACUUUAUGCCUUACGUGUGAUGGACAUUCUCAUUUACCUUAACAACACUUUGAUGAAGACAUUACCACCUUCAUUUCAGCAAUGAAGAAAUCAAGUGAUGCUUAAGGAAGUUGACCAGCUUGUCCAGUGUCACUCUGCUAGGACAUUGGGAGCCAGAAUGAAAACCAGAUCUGUAUUUCUCAAAGUCUACUCUAUUUCUAUUUAUACAUUUAUAAAAUAUACUUGUUUUAUAAGAUUUAUUAUCAUAUAAGCACAUUAUAAUAAGAUUUAUUUAUCACAUCUUCACUCAUCAUCUUUCUCCUGCCUUAAGUAAAUCCCAAACUUGUUGUUAGGUGCGGUUGAGCCAGUACCGGCUCACGGUGACCCUGUGUACAACGGAAUGAAACACUGCCCAGUCCUGCCCCAUCUUUGUAAUCGUUGCUGCGUUUGAGCCCAUUUUUGUGUCAAUUCAUCUUAUUGAGGGUCUUCCUCUUUUUCGGUGACCCUCUACCAAGCGUGAUGUCCUUCUCCAGGGAAUGGUCCCUCCUGAUAAUAUGCCCAAAUUAUGUGAGAAGAAGUCUUGUCAUCCUUGCUUCUAAGAAGUACUCUGGCUGUACUUCUUCCAAGACAGGUUUGUUCCUUCUUCUGGCAGUCCAUGGUAUAUUCAGCAUUCUUUGCCAACUCCAUAUUACAAAUUCAUCAAUUCUUUUUCUAUCAUUCUUAUUCAUAAUAAGGUGCUAUGUGAGAAUAUUCCUACAGGGUAGCUACAAGUUAGAAUCUACUUGAUGGCAAUGGGUUUGGUUUUUUUGUUUGGUGGCACAGUGGUUAAGCAGUCAGCUGUUAACCAAACAGUUGGUGGUUCAAAUCCUCCAGCUGCUUUGUGGGAGAGAAAUGUGGCAGUCUGCUUCUGUAAAGAUUACAGCAUGGAAACCUAUGGGACAAUUCUACUUUGUCCUAUAGGGUUCCUAUGAGUCAGAAUUGAUUCAACAACAACGGGUGUGUUUUUAUUUUGGUGGAGGGGUUCAUCGCCGUUGUUGUUUGUGUAUGUGUGUGAGAGAGAGAAUACUCAGUUCCUGAGUGAUGUAAACAGUUAACGCUAACUGAAAGGGUGGUUCAAGCCCACUCAGAGGCACCUUGGAAGAAAGGUCUGGCAAUCUACUUUCAAAAACUCAGCCAUUGAAAACCCUGUGGAACACAGUUCUGUUUGACAUACAUGAGGUCACUAUUGAAUCCACAGCAUCUGGAAGUAAUAAUAUUAGUAGUCUAGAAUAGAGAAAGGUAAAACCAACACUUCUUUCUUGUUAUUCACAAAGAUCAGACUAAGGCAAAUAUUUACAUUCCCCUCUCCCUUCCAGAGGCCCUUGUCAGGAUUUGGCAAAGCAACACUCCUAAGAACCAACACAAAGCCUAGCCCUAUGCGUUAGCCUAGGCUGGUCAGACAGAUUGAGAGGGCUCUCUUGUUCACUGACUUAGUGUGACCCUUGCUAACUGUGACAGAGGGCAAAGAAGGGAGGCUGGGAGGCUCUGUGAACAUGGCCUACUCCAUAGGGAACUCUCAUUUUCCAUCUGCCAGGCCAUCAGCGCUUUUCACUAAGUGUUCUGACUUUACAAGGAACGUUGCCAGCAGCGCUUCCACUUUAGCUCUGCAGUGUCUAGUCCAAAGGGAAGCUGUUUAUGUCACCUUUCUCCAAGAACCACCCACGCCACAGGCAGGGAGGAUGUGGGGCAAGAGGGGAAGUCAGAGGCAAGGACUGAACAAUGAAGGGAGGUGGCAUACUGGAAAAGCUCAUUGGAGCAUAUCCUGGAAGGGGAGUAGGAAAAUAAUUUAGACUAGGCCUAGCUUGCCUGAAAGUGAACAGGGAGUUGUAAUAGAGCCCAAGUCCUUGGGUAGGGAGGGAAGGAGGAGAAGGCAAAUUGUAGUGAUACAACCAGUGACAGCAGUUGAGUUUGGCUUAGUCUCUGCUUGUCCUGCUUACUGGCCAGAAAUAUUUGCCCAUGCUGUUUUCCAGUCUGCUCUAGAAUUUAUUCUGUCACAGCAGAACUGACAAUAAUCACAGCACUUUCCAUUCUUCCCUUCGUUUGCCCUGUAUGUGCAUUUUUCUUCCUGCCCCUGAAUCCUUUUUAUUUUUCCUCUUUUACUCAUGUAUUGCAUUUAACUGCUGAUGCCAAUAGACACUGUAUGGUCUUCUUAAUGUCUUUAAGAACAAAAAGACUGUUUUCACCUGUUAGAGGAUAUGGAUCAAGCCUACUUGAGAAAGAAUGAAGUUUAUAUAUAUAUAUAUAUAUGUACACAUAUAUAUAUAUAUAUAAUGGGGCCCUAGUGGUGCAGUGGUUAAGUGAUAUAGCUGUUAACCAAAAGGUCAGCAGUUCAAAUCCACCAGCUGCUCCUUGGAAUCCUAUGGAGCAGUUCUACUCUGACCUCUAGGGUCGCGAUGGGUCAGAAUCAACUUGAUGGCAAUGGGUUUAUACAUAUAUAAUGGAGCCCUGGUGACGCGGUGGUUAAGAGAUUCGCUGCUAAUCAAAAGGUCAGCAGUUCAAAUCUACCAGCUGCUCCUUGGAAACCCUAUGGGGCAGUUCUGCUCUAUCCUGUAGGGUCACUGUGAGUUGGAAUCAACCUGAUGGCAAUGGGUUUGGUUUUUUCGUUUGGUAUAUACACAUAUAAAUUUUUUGGCUAACAAAAUUUAUUUUGCUAAAAAAGAAUCAAAUUGGGAAGCUUUUGGUGUUUUGGUGCUGUGGAAACUGAACUUAAAUCUAAGCUUACUGAGGAAUGUUGAAGAAUGUGACUAACCAUAUGUGCUAGACAGAUAUGCUGUUGGGGCAACUGUAGGAAGUACUGAUAAAGAAUUAUGAUGAACAAAAAGCCGUAAUAAGCCUGAUCAGGAACUAUGAGAAACAAGAUGUCAAAGUAAGCUCAAUAUAACUACUGAUGCAAACUGAAUAACUACAGUCUGUUUACCAAACGUUAGAUGAUCAGCUAUGGCUUUAAUCCUGUGUAUAUGGAAUUGAAUAUCUGCAGUACCUUUGUAGCCACUUGCUGCCUGUCUGCAUGAAUUUGCUUUUGUUUGUCUUUGCUCAAUGGAGCCCUGGUGGCAUAGUGGUUAAGAGCUCGGCUGCUGAGCAAAAUGUCAGCAGUUGAAAUCCACCAGGUCUUCCUUGGAAACCCUAUGGGGCCGUUCUACCCUGUCCUGUAGGGUUGCUAUGAGUUGGAAUUGACUCAACGGCAACAGCUUUGGGUUUUUUUGGUUUUGCUCAAUAAUAAACUAAUUCUAUAAUUCCAAAUUGGCCUGUUCCUUUGGAUUUCAAUUUCUUUGCUUUCCCAACAGUGUUGGAUAACUAUCAUUAUGUAUGCUGGUUUUGGAAGCAGAUCAACCUGGGCUCAAGUUCCCUGUUCUGCCAUUUUCCAGCAGGAAUAUCGGGCCUGUCUAAUUUUUGGCUGAAAGGUGGCGAACUUUGGGAGUAGCGUCAGUUCUGAGUCAAAAUGAUGUCUGGGGGCCGUAGUCUUGGCAGUUCCUCCAGUCUCUGUCAGACCAGCAAUACACAUGAUGUUAUUCCCUCCUUACCACGUGGAAUGCACUAGAGACUAGACCGUGGAACUGACAUUAGAUACGGUGGAUUUAAACUUGCUAGGAUCAGCUGGCUGUAGAGAAUACAAACCCUAUGUGAACUGGGAAAUAUAGAAGUAAUUUACUGCCAGCAAUGGAUCCAGAUUUUUAAAAACCUUUUUGGACUUCUUGGACAUCUAUUUGGAUAACAGGCAGAAAUUAUGAUCACUGGAACCUUAUAAGGAGGCUUUCAUCUGGUCCAGGCAAGAGUUGAAAUUAAGAACAAAUUCAGAUUCUCAGAGGAAGUGAAAACAUGAACGCCUCUUAAGAAAACAGGCUGCUGAGAGGCACAGAAAGAUAAAUGUUGGGAAGGCCAGCCCUGAACUGCAUAUUGCUACAUUUCCUUCUCCUCUGUCCAGCCAAAGCUGCAGGCCAUCCCUCCUCACUGGCAAGGGCCUGAAAACAAGCAAGGGUAGGUGGACAGGCUGCUAAUGUAAAACGGUGGGAGCAAAUUCUUUCCUGUCUCUUCAGAGCUACUUUGAAAGAACACAGUUAUAUAAGAUCAUUAAACCUUGUUGUACUUUGUUUCUGCUGGGUUUUUAAUUCCAUUAAGUACUGUUCUUUUAAGGAAUCUUGGUGACGCAAAAAGUUAAACACUCUGCUGCUAACUGAAAGGUUGGCGGUUUGAACGCACCCAGUGGCUCCGUGCAAGAAAGCGCCAGCCAACUGCUUCUGCAACGUUACAGCGUUGGAAACUAUGGGGCAGUUCUACUCUGUCCUAUAGGGUUGGUAUAAGUUGGAAUUGACUCGAGGGCAACUAACAAUAAUAACAACUGUUGUUGUUAGGUACUGUCCUGUCGGUUCCGAUUCAUGGAGAUCGCCUGUGUGCAGAGUAGACCUGCUCCAUAGGGUUUUCAAAGCUGUGAUCUUUCAGAAGGAGACCACCAGGCCUGUCUUGCAACGUGCCUCUGGGUGGAUAUAAACUGCCAACUUUUCGGCUAGUGGUGGGGAACACUUAACCAUUUACACCACCCAGGGACUCCAUUAAGUACUGUUAAAAAAAAAAACAAAAAAACCUCUUGCUCCCGAGUCAACCUCAACUCAUAGCGACCCUAUAGGACAGAGCAGAACUGCCCCGUAGGGUUUCCAAAGGGGGGCUGGCGGAUUCAAACUGCCGACCUUUUUGUUAGCAGCCAUAACUCUUAACCACCAGGGUUUCCUUAAGUAGUGUAGAGGUGUGUUAAGAUUUGGCCUUUCUCCUGAAACUAGUUUGUUAAAUUUUCAAUUUUAAUUCUCUAAAGUUAGAGAAUUAGAAAUUGGAAGUCCACAAGCAAAAUUUACUACAAAAACUAUCAGGUUUAGAUCUCCUUCAUUCAGUGUUUCAGCUUGAGAGGUUAGGAGAGGAGAUGGUUGGUUCACUGCAGCAUGGACUACACGGUGGCCUACACUAAGUAAAGUGGAAGUACCAGACCUGCCCUGGUAUACUGUAGAAGCAGGUAUCCAAAGGCUUACGGGAAUUGGCACGUUAGAGUGGGUUUAUCAGGUUAGACCCACAAACCUACACAUGGAGUGCCCAGAGGACAGAUACCCUUUACCACAACAGUGAGGAACAAAUUUGUGAAGUAAGGCCUAGCAUCCUUGAAGACUGCUGUGAUUGCCGUUUUAUGUAAAUCGGGUUUGAUAAUGGGAACUGCCCUAACUGAAUUAAGACACCCAACUACUACAGAGACAAGGUGGGCAC